rnacentral:lncRNA from 1 species
UCAAUUCCAGCUAGAAAAGUGUUUUGAUUAGUUCAUUAAUCCAUUAGCCUAAUGCUUUGAUUCGUGCUUUAGUGUCCCCUACACAAUGAAUGCAGAUUGUGAAAUAACUAGAUCAUAUUCAUGAAUCUUUCAUUUGAAACUAAGAAUCAGAAUGGAUGUUUAGAUCAAUUAAUUGAAUCUCUAAUCUCUCAAUUAGAGGAUAUAAGCUAGGAAGUAGAAAGCUAACCCUAGAAACUGAUUUGAUGUUGCAGAAGAAAGGUGGGGGAGAUUAGAGAAUUACUUCGACUAGGAUCGAAUUUUGCCGGUGGAGUAGCAUUUCUUGCGGCGGAUCUUCGGGAUUGAUUUAAGAUUCCGGCGGAGAAGGAAGAGUAUGGUCCGGAGAAGUUCACUUCUCUUCUUCCGCCAUUGAUGGAAUUUCAGGUUUCUUUUCCACACAACUGCUGAUCACUUACCAUUCGUUUUUUCCUUUCUUCUAGACACCGUUU